rnacentral:rRNA from 1 species
CACGUAGGGGGCGAGCGUUGUCCGGAUUUAUUGGGCGUAAAGAGCUCGUAGGCGGUUUCGUAAGUCGGAUGUGAAAACUCCAGGCUCAACUUGGAGACGCCAUUCGAUACUGCGAUGACUUGAGUCCGGUAGGGGAGUGUGGAAUUCCUGGUGUAGCGGUGAAAUGCGUAGAUAUCUGGAGGAAUACCGGUGGCGAAGGCGGCAUCCUGGACCGGCAUUGACGCUGAGGAGCGAAAGCCAGGGGAAGCAAAGCGGG